GCCUUGAAGAUCGGAGUGCUUGCACUCUGUGAAACAAGAUACAGGCUAGCGGCGGACGGGUGAGUAACACGUGGGUAACCUGCCCAAGAGAUCGGGAUAACACCUGGAAACAGAUGCUAAUACCGGAUAACAACAGAUGAUGCCUAUCAACUGUUUAAAAGAUGGUUCUGCUAUCACUCUUGGAUGGACCUGCGGUGCAUUAGCUAGUUGGUAGGGUAACGGCCUACCAAGGCGAUGAUGCAUAGCCGAGUUGAGAGACUGAUCGGCCACAUUGGGACUGAGACACGGCCCAAACUCCUACGGGAGGCAGCAGUAGGGAAUCUUCCACAAUGGACGCAAGUCUGAUGGAGCAACGCCGCGUGAGUGAAGAAGGGUUUCGGCUCGUAAAGCUCUGUUGUUGGUGAAGAAGGACAGGGGUAGUAACUGACCUUUGUUUGACGGUAAUCAAUUAGAAAGUCACGGCUAACUACGUGCCAGCAGCCGCGGUAAUACGUAGGUGGCAAGCGUUGUCCGGAUUUAUUGGGCGUAAAGCGAGUGCAGGCGGCUCGAUAAGUCUGAUGUGAAAGCCUUCGGCUCAACCGGAGAAUUGCAUCAGAAACUGUCGAGCUUGAGUACAGAAGAGGAGAGUGGAACUCCAUGUGUAGCGGUGAAAUGCGUAGAUAUAUGGAAGAACACCGGUGGCGAAGGCGGCUCUCUGGUCUGUUACUGACGCUGAGGCUCGAAAGCAUGGGUAGCGAACAGGAUUAGAUACCCUGGUAGUCCAUGCCGUANACGAUGAGUGCUAAGUGUUGGGAGGUUUCCGCCUCUCAGUGCUGCAGCUAACGCAUUAAGCACUCCGCCUGGGGAGUACGGCCGCAAGGUUGAAACUCAAAGGAAUUGACGGGGGCCCGCACAAGCGGUGGAGCAUGUGGUUUAA
rnacentral:rRNA from 1 species